GCGGUUGUAGCUCAGCUGGUUAGAGCGCAGGAUUGUGGCUCCUGAGGUCGCUGGUUCGAUUCCAGCCAACCGUACCA
rnacentral:tRNA from 1 species